UAGAUAUCUUCUGGUAGUCCAAUUUCAAUGCCCACAGAAAGCAUUUUAUUCUACUGCAUCUACAAAUUCUGCAGAUAAGAGCUCUAAGCGAAAGACAUGAGGCCUAAGACUGAAAUGAGGUUGUUUUGAGGCCAUCUGAUUUCUGACUAGAAGGUGUGCGAUCGCCUCGUCCUGAAACCACUUCAAACAGAAUGGUAAUGGCAAAACCUAAGAGAAAGAGAGGCCUUCAUGUUUUUCCAUGUCUGUUCUCUUAUCCCAAUUCCUUCCUCUUUUAAGAUUAAAACAAAUUUUUUAAGUUACGAACAAAAAGUAUUAAACAAUAUGCUAAUAUACCCUAACUAAACUGGGUCUCGGGUGAAGAGUUGUGUAAAUCUACAUGGUAAGCCUUGUAUAGUUGUUUGAACUUUUUAGUGAGCUACUUAAUUAGUGACAAAAUCUGUAUUCUGUGAAAACGCCUGAGCCAUUAGGAAUUUGCAGAUUGAAAUAAUUUUCUUCCUUUGAAAAAUGAUAGGGUUUGCUCUUAGAAGGGACUCCAGACUUGUGAGGCGUUUCAGACUAGGGAGUUAGGGUUCUUGUCACAACUUUCUUUUGCUGUCAUAAAGAAUUUUAAUGUCUUAUGUAUGUGUUUUUGUUUUUCUAUUUAAGAUGUAAAGUCCUAUUAAGAAUGUUAGUAGUAUCAGUUAGCUCUACUUUAAUUAUUACCGGUAUCUUAGUUCAAAAUGUAUUUUAUAGUUGAGAAUAGCACUGUUUGUUUUUAUUACAGUAAAACUUUUUUGAGAGAGUGCUACUAUUUAUUAAGUUUAUUCCAGUGGUCCAGGUCCUGUUAAAAUAAUGUUGAUGUGGCAAUUACUAGGCUGAAUCCCGCUGGGAAUAGAAUUCCAAUAGGGUCUUUGCUCAAGUUCAGAUUUUAUGCAAAG